ACAGCAAACUUUAUAAGGGAAUACAUUCUCUGAAAACCUGUCGUCAGGAUACUGUUUAAGCAACUGACAAUGAGACAUCCACUGUGCAACACACAAUUCACAUAAUUUUUUCCUCAGUGAUGUCGUUUAUCUAAAUGGCGUUUGUGCAUGAGAGUAUAAAUUUAUUUUGUCUGUUCUGAUGAUGGCUGUUCAGCUGAAAACUUUUGUCUGACUUUUUGUCGUUGCUGUUGUUGUGCCAGUAUGCAACUCAACAUCUCUGCUAUACAGCCGGUAGCAAAUUUCCUUUUCAUAAUAUUUUUACUAUUCCAUCCCGAAUUUUCCACUGUUUAACUCUAUCUUUUGGCAUUUUAAUCUGCAAAAUCUGAUAAUAUCUCUAAUGCAAAAGUUGCAGAGCUUAGACGUUUGAGAAGAAGUGCGACAUGUGACUCAGUUCAACUUCUUAUCAAUGUAAAUGCCUAUGUGUUUACAGUAUGUUUUUUCCUUUGUCAAUUUACACUCAAGAAUUAUUUCUAAUGGCAUGGCCGAGCAUUGUGCUUUACCUAAAUUUAGUGACAAUCCGUUUGCGAAGACCAAUUUAUUAAUUUCUGAGGAAAUAUUGUUUACAUUUUCAGGUGGUGAAAUUGCUCCAUUAGGUUCAACUGAAAUCUUCGCAUCGUCAGCAACAAAGCAUUUUUGUUUCCAGUCCUAAGAUUGGUUUGGUGCAACUCUUCAUAUUAGUCUACAGGCAGUGAAUUGUCUGCUACAUUUUAUGCAUUCACUGUAAACUCUCAGAUUCUUUGUGCUCCCUCUGAAGUACAGUAAAAUGAUAAAUAUAGAUGCUUUACAAUCUUAUGAUUAUCCAUUGUAAUUAACUGCUUACGUUGUGUCACACACAUAAAUGGUAUUUACGCACAAGAUUUGGUGACACGAUGACAAAAUAACUUGGCACAUUACAGCUCCAAUUGGUACUUUCAUCCCACAAUAUCAACACUUUGAGCACAUCCACAUUGAUGCCAGUGGACUUUUACCACCAUCUGAAGAUUACCAAUAGCUACCGACCGUGACUGACCAUUUCUUUUGUUGGCCCGAAAUCUAUCCUACAAAGGACACAACGGCAGCUACUACGACUGUGACCUCCCUUCACGAGUGGAUCCUGUGCUACAGUGUUCCUCUCCACGUCACCACUGACAAACAAUUUGAGACCUAUCUCCUUAAAGCACUCUUGCCAUUGCUUGGCACAAACUGUAUUCAAACCUGUGCCUGCCAUCCCACUGUCAAUGACCUCGCGGAACGGCUCCGCCGACAGAGACUUCAUUCGGAUGCUGUGCCACAGAGCGUCAGAGUGACGGCCUCCCUAAUGUCCUACUAGGCCUCCGGACAGCUUUCCUCUGAUUUAAAUGCGCAUUCUACCCAGUGGCCAUUCAUUUUAUGCAACUUUUAGUCAGACAGGUAUUCACCUGACACGAGGCCACUCAAAACGCACCAUAGAGUGGUCCAGACCCAGUACUGUCAUGCCACAUUCUGUGUUAUCAAUGGCUCUCCUGUCACAAUAUCCCUGCCAUACUCGAGCCAGCCUUUGCUCCAGCUAACCCUUUCAAAGGUACAGCAGCAGCAGCUAGUACCGAGGCACUAAGUACGGUUGACUGCACGAGGACACUGGAUGCACCCAGUCUUCCACUGCCACAGCCUGUGCCUCUACAUAUAAGUCACCACUCAUUUUGGGCACCUCAUACGUUGUGACCUUAUGCUAAGCUCUUUGUCUCUGUACUACUGCAAGCUACACCUGUCUGCAACUACUUACUGCAGAGAAGCCUUUAUCUCCCUCAACUUUAACAUCCCCCUCCUUCUUUCUUUCCAUUACCACACACGCAAUUCCUUGAUACCUCAGGACGUGUCUUGUCAGCUGGGUCCUUUUAGUUAGGCUGUGCCAUAAAUUUCUGAGUACUUCCUCACUAGUUACUCAAUCUACCCAUUUAGUCUACAGCAUUUACUGUAGCGACACAUUUCAAAAGCUUUUAUCAUAAUCUUUUCUGAAUUGUUUGUUGUCCACAUUCUGCAUGUGUCUAGUGUUCCAAACAGGCUUUGUCUUUCUCUACACAACUUCAACUGACAUAGCUACUUCCACUUCUUUAUCUGCACCUGCCCCUUCUACAGUCCUUUUCGUGUGGGGUUUCAAUCCUUUAUGUGAACGUGCAGUUUACCUUCUCUAUAUUUUCUUCUUAUCUUUAUGAACAACAGAGCAAAUGUCAGUACACAGGUAGUUGUAGCGUAUCAGUUGGUGGAACAGUUCAGAAUUGUCACUUUGCAUAGAUGGUUUAAUUUUGUGUUACUGACUGUUACCUCAUCAUGUUAACUACUAACAAAUUAUUUAGUAACUUUAAGAUGAAUUUUUUUGCAAUGCAAAGCAAUAAUUACUUCCUACUGCGGCAAUGUUAGACAAGAGUACAAAUAAAAAUUGAAACAUUUUUUCCAACUUUAUUCCAUUUACAAUUCGCUUUUUAUGUGGCUUCCAGAGAGGGUAAUAUCCAAUAAUGCCAACGAUAUUUAAUGUUUUUCUGAGUGCGUGUAUUGGGGAGGGGUUGAGAGAGUGGAAGGGAGCGCUUAUGUAUUAGCUUUUAUACGCUCUUCAGCAUCUGCUUUCUCAUUUGUAACACGCAUAAGCAAUCCCAGAAAUCCAGUACACAGGCUUUCCAACUCUCAGUAAUAAUUAGCAAAGCUGCAGCACAAUACUGUGUACUGCGUCGGGUUCUUCCGAGUGUUUUGAACGUUUUAUGUAUUCAUAAUGUGCGAGAUCAUUAAUACGCUGAGAGUACCUCUUACCGCGGAUGACGAUGUACGAAUUUUUCGCAAACAUCCGAGUCUCAAGGGCGACUAACAGACGCGUCAUGUUAAACUAUUACACAGACGUAUCCUCUUGUAAUUAUGCCAGUGACGUAGUGUUUGUUGUUUGAGUGAAGUGUCGUUGUUCUGAUAUUCUCACGAGACUGAAGAUUUUCUGAUAAUUGUGGCCGGUAAUUUAAGCAACGACCGACAGAAGUGGAUAACGAAACAAUACUGGAGGACAGAAUGUGCCAAAAAGGCUCAACAGAAAUGGACGGGAGAAUCUAGUACACCUCCGUGGAAUAGACUAUCAGUUGCCAUCGAAUUUGAUUGCACUGGGUCUACCUGUAAUGUGCCGAAGAGUGGUCGACCUGUGAGUAGUACUAGCAAUGAAAAUGAAAUGUUAGUUCCAUAGGCCGAAGCCGAAACAAACUCGAAUGGAAAGUCUGUGCCAAGUUGGCCAUUUGCUGUAGAUCCUCGAGUCUUCUAAUGCAGUAUUUAAGUUUGCAAGUGCAUCAGCCAACUUCACGGGUUACUAGAGGAUGACCCAUGUCACCAUUUAGAAUUUUGCAAGAUUCUUUUGAAUGUAGAAAUGUGGAUUGAUGGCACAAUUGUAAAAAAUUAUCAGUUCGAUGAACCAAAUUUUAAGCUGUCAGAUGUUGCUAAUAGGCACACCUGUGUGUACUAAAUCCCCAAGCUGUAAUUGAAAAGCAAGUGCGUCGACCUAGGGCUCCAAUCCAGGCGUGCCUUUCACAUCAAGGGAUCAUCACUCACAUUUAUUUUUCCAUACAACUGUUACCUACGGUACCUUAUCUUAACUUGUUGCAGGAUACCGGUCUUCCACAAUGACGUAUACAUCGAGAUAAUGAGAAGUUCUACUUCCGGCGAGACAGAGCGUCUCACCACUAUUCUUCGACAGCGUGUGGGUUUCUCGACAACAGGUUACCUGAUAGGUGGAUAGCCAAAUGGUGGCCAACCAUGUGGCCACCACAAUCGCCAGAUCUUACUCCGACUGACUUUUUCUUUUGGGGCAUUAUCGGAGGUAAAGGCUUCGCAAGGAAACUGCACACUGUUGACGACAAGUGUCAGUUCGUAACAAAAUUGUCUCGAGACGUUCUUAAUUGUAAAUAACUCUGUGUGAAAAUGUGCUCGAGUGUACAAACCCCGCUACAGGAAUGUGUAAAUGCUGAAGGUUAGCAAUACGAGCACCUCGGACAUUGAGCACUUAAGACAUUCCACAUAUUGUGACUUCAAAACCUGUAAUAAUAUCUACUGUAGAUGUACUUAUGCCUGGGGGCCCGUAUAUUGAGGUAUUGAAAGGUUAAGCUGACCACACGAUAAGUAGCAGUGUUUGUUAUAAACCUACCUGACAAGCAGUGAUGUACUGUAUAUGCAAUUCAUUAUUUACAGAUUAAGCUAGAAAUUGUUCUACUGACAGAGAUAAACAGCAGCUGUGUUAAAACAGAUGAGGCAAUAGUACUUUCUUUCCCCCUCUCCCCAAGUCCCUGAGGGUUCUCCUCCUUUUUGGGAUCUGCAUAACUUCGGGAGUGGGUGAGCCGCCACUUUCUGCCGGACACAGUAUUUGGUGUGGGCACUCGGCACACGACUGUCCGAGUCUGACACCGGCUACCCGUGUCACACAAUUUACCAGCGUACCGUAUUCAUCAUGGUGUCGUGUUUACCCUGAAAACAGAAAGAGGUGGUUGUCUGCUGUCCUCGGAUGUUGUUGUGGGAGAGAAUAUGGUGCCUCUCGGACUCGUUCUCUUCGCCAGAGGCCUUCUCACACAGAUCAAUAUUUACAGUCUUUGAGCUGUCGCCACCCGUCAUGAGUCACGAUUGUGCUGCCGACACGAGCAGUGUCCGCUUCCGAGAGUUUCUCCGAGGAGCUCACGGAUUUCCGAGUGGACCUCUUUGCGGCAAGGAUGUAAUUGGCUGAAGCGGAUAACUGGAACUUGGACAAGGAGUAUAGUACACUGGAAAAAUCCACAGAAUUCUUCUGUGGAGUGUUGGCAAUUUCUAGUGUGUGAUAGGUAGGAUUCUUCAGAGAAAGUUAAAGUGGUUUUCCAUCUACUGCCUGAGACUUUCACUAUAUUUACUUUCUAAAGGACUUUCUAAAGGAAAACAAUUAACAGAUAACAUGUCUCGAGCAAUGGUAAUAGCUAGAGCUACUACACGAGCAGAAUGGGAAGAAACUGCUAUGUGUGUGUAAAUUAAACAAUUUCUCAUUUCUGCAAAAUCGAGUUUUGUAAAGGUGCAAUAGAAAUGGAGAAUAAAACACGAGUUUUGUAAAGGUGUGACAGAAUUAUAGAAAAACACACAAAAGAGUCAGUGGGAGAUUUGGAACUCUGUGCUUGAGAAAUCUGUAGCUUUUGAUCCUGUUCCUAAAUCCGUACCCACUAUUAUUAAUAUUAGGAGUAGUGCAUUAUUUUAUGAACAAUACAAAAUAGAAAUGGCUGUUGAAGCCUUUACAUGUCUUAGUGAUAACUUUCAACAAUUCAUCUGUUACAGACAUCACAAAAAUCAUUAAGUCACUAAAAAGUAGUAACUUCUCUGGUUGUGAUGGUAUCUCAGGCAAAGUACUAAAAUUUUGUGCUGACUUCAUUAUGCUACCCUUCAGUUACAUUUGAUGAGUCGAGGGGUGUCUGCUGAAAGACAAGUAUACAGUAGCGAUGCCAAUACAUGAAAGUGGAAAUAAGAAACUGACAUCUGAUAGUAGACCAAUCUCACUCCUGCCAAUGUUUUCGAAAUGUAGUAUCUUGUGACAGAAUGCUGAACCGAGAAUAGCCUGUUAACAACAGCUCAGUUUGGUUUCUGUAAAUGUUUCUAUACUGAGAACGCAAUUUAUGAUCUCACAAGCUCAAUUGUAGUAGAAUUUAACUAGAAAAAUUAAGCCCUCAGCUUUUUCUGUGAUCUCACUGUUUCUUUGACUAUGUAGAUCAUAAAAUUCUGCUAGGGAAACUAGAAUAGUAUAGUGCUAAAGAUCUGUCAUCUUGCAUGGAUAGGCAUAUUCUAGCAAUAGAAAACAAGCCACCUUAGCAAAUGAUGCAGCAGGUUGCCACAAGGUCUGGUGCUCGGCCCUCUGCUGUUCUUUGUGUAACUAAACAAUUUACUGGGGACACUGCAGGACCCUUCAGAAACAGUAAUAUUUGUCAUCUUGGGGUUGAAGCUACAACUGUUUCCCAGCUGACGGCUUAACCCUCAGUCUCUCAAAAAGUCAUAUUAUGCAAUUCUGAACAAAUAAAAAUGACUUGCAGGCAGGGGAAAUGUGCAUUGGUGGCCAUACAUUAGACAAGGCUCUAUGUGUGAAGCCCCUGGGUAUCCAGAUGAGUAACAAACUGAUGUAGUAACAUCACGUGGAUAUGUUAGCGAACAGGUUCUGUUCUGCCUGCUAUGCUCUCAAAUGUAUCUCUCACUGUGUUCACCUCCAGUCAAGGUCGACAGCAUCCUGUGUAUAUGUUUAACUCAGUUGUACCCUACAACCCAGUCUCCAGACGCAUUGCAGCUACAGUGAAAAAGUGUGUAUUCUACAAAAGCGUGCUUGUGUAAAGUCAAUAAUCGAACACCUUGCAUAACCUGAGAACUGGUGCACCUUUGUGCCAAUAGGUGUGCUCCCUAAAGGCAUUUGUGGUCAAUAUUGAGAGAAUCUUAGAAGAAAGAUUAAGGAAAGGCAAACCUACAUUUCUAGCAUUUGUAGGCUUAGAGAAAGCUUUUGACAAUGUUGACUGGAAUACUCCCUUUCAAAUUCUAAGGGUGCCAGGGGCAAAAUACAGGGAUCGAAAGGCUAUUUACAAUUUGUACAGAAACCAGAUGGCAGUUAUAAGAAUUCGAGGGGCAUUAAAGGGAAGCAGUGGUUGGGAAGAGAGUGAGACAGGGUUGUAGCCUCUCCCCGAUGUUAUUCAAUCUGUAUAUUGAGCAAGCAGUAAAGGAAACAAAAGAAAAAUUUGGAGUAGGUAUUAAAAUCCGCGGAGAAGAAAUAAAAACAUUGAGGUUCACCGAUGACAUUGUAAUUCUGUCAGAGACAGCAAAGGACUUGGAAGAGCAGUUGAACAGAAUGGACAGUGUCUUGAAAGGAGGAUAUAAGAUGAACAUCAACAAAAGUAAAACGAGGAUAAUGGAAUGUAGUCAAAUUAAGUCGGCUGAUGCUGAGGGAAUUAGAUUAGGAAAUGAGACACUUAAAGUAGGAAGGUGAGCUGUAACUAUAUAUUUACUAAGAUGGUAUCUGUUCUUUCGGUCAUGUCCAAAAGAACAGAUACCAUCUUAGUAAAUUUAUAGACCUUUCUUCACGUCCCUAUUUUUAGCUGUCUUCUCUUUCUUUGAUUGGGACUGAUGUGUAGUCAUUUUUCAACUCCCCUCUGUCUUCGUGUUCUACGGUUUUGAUAUGGGUUUGUAUGACUCUAGUUGUUUUUGCACUCUAAAACAUAACAAAAGAAAACAGCAGUAGAAGCAGAAAUAACUUCAACAUGGACUGUGCAGCCCUCUCUAGGGUUGGAAUGGAGAUUUACAUUCCUGACCAGUGUAUAUCAGGCAGGAAAAUGAAUACCUCACAAGUUACUCCUUUUACAGUUUAUCACAUUACUUUGACUGAAGAACGUAACUUCUGCUUAACUGUAAUGUGUGUAUUAGCUGCAUCCCAGCCUUUGCCAGUACACAGACAGCUGGGUAAAGUUAAAAGGCUAUGUUUGCAGUGACGAUGAUGAUGAUGAUGAUGAUGAUGAUAGGUCCCAUACUCCGAGGAGCGUAGGGAGCAAUGCGCGAGACCUGCAGUGCUGACUAGGUAAGGUCCUAGCGGAGGUGGUUUGCCAUUGCCUUGCCUUCCUCCAACCGUAAUGGGGAUGAAUGAUGAUGCUGAAGAUGACACAACAUCCAGUCAUCUCGAGGUAGGGAAAAUCCCCGACUCCGCCGGGAAUCAAACCAGGGACACCGUGCGCGGGAAGCGAGAACGCUACCGCAAGACCACGAGCUGCGGUGUUUGCAGUAUCAGAUGAUAUCAGCAGCUGAGUAGUGUAGAAGAUGAAGCAGUGGGUUUUCAAAGUACGGUAACUGUUUUCCUCAAUGUGCACACAUGUAGUAAUCUAGUAGUAAUUAGCAGUUUGAGUAGAUUAUCUCCAGUUAUAAUUCAUUGUCUGUAUACUUUACAGAUGCCACCGGUAGUGCCUGCUGUCUGUUAAUGUGUAAAUUGGGUCACUCUACAUUCCUGAAUGCACCCUUUCGUUAUGGCAUUUACAGAACACACUGUGUGAGCAAAUGAAUGAAUGAGUAGGCUGCCAAUGGAUGAGGUAAAACUUGUGUUUUCUUUAUUUCUGUUUCUGUACAGUUUCAGCAGUGAUGAUGUUUUCAAGCAUAAGCAUUGUGUACAAGCUAUCAGAAUGGCCAGAAUCUGAAAACUGAUCCACUCACACACGUAAUAGUGUAAUCUGGAAGAGGCGGGAAGUACCUUUCGACACUCCUCAGUAGUUUGCAGAGUGUGGAUGUAGACUCAGAUGCAGAUGUAGAUGCAGUCAGUCACAUUUCGGAUUUUGCAAUUGAAGAAACAUGACUGUCUGCAGUAUAUACAUGGAGUACACCGUAAGAAUUUUAUAUUUUCUGAAGAUAUCUCUACAAGGCUCUCUCUUCUUUUGGCUACCAUUCUUACUGCCUUUUUUUGUAAUCUCUCUUAACACUGCAAUCUGGUGUAGAACUGUGUCAUCUGUAUAAAUUGUAAAUUGUGUGCUGAAUUCAGUGACUGAUGUUUGAAAUAUAAACUUUGAAAAAUA